UACGUAGGGUGCAAGCGUUACUCGGAAUUACUGGGCGUAAAGCGUGCGCAGGCGGUUGUGCAAGACAGAUGUGAAAUCCCCGGGCUUAACCUGGGAACUGCAUUUGUGACUGCACGGCUAGAGUGUGUCAGAGGGGGGUAGAAUUCCACGUGUAGCAGUGAAAUGCGUAGAUAUGUGGAGGAACACCGAUGGCGAAGGCAGCCCCCUGGGAUAACACUGACGCUCAUGCACGAAAGCGUGGGGAGCAAACAGG
rnacentral:rRNA from 1 species